rnacentral:lncRNA from 1 species
AAAAAAUGUAGACAUGAAAGAAUAAUCAUAAGGACUCAAGAUUUUUCUCCCUCUUUCCUUCUACUAUCUCCUUGUGACAUGUUGUCAGGCUGAAAAAUAACCUGUACUGAGGACGGAAAACAGCUAAGGCCUCCACCACUUAUGCUAAUGUUGUUACAACCUAUAUGGGCCUUCCAUUGAAAAGAAGCUAGCACAUUGUUCAAUUCCCCAGGUUGCGGAAACAAGAUGUCAGCAAUACAGGAUUAGAAACACCUACCUGGGAUGACCUUGUUUGAAGCUGUUUCCUGACCUGACUCUACUUCUGUUCUCUGCUGGAUCUGGUUUCUCCUACUCAGUAAGUAGUCCUACUAUAAGGCACCCUGCCUGAUUGGGGUCACAAUCUAUAAGGCUUCUUCCUGCUUCAAAAAGUUUAGCU